rnacentral:piRNA from 1 species
CCCGGCCAAUGCAAAGAGAACUUUU